AACGAACGCUGGCGGCAGGCUUAACACAUGCAAGUCGAACGCAUCCUUCGGGGUGAGUGGCAGACGGGUGAGUAACGCGUGGGAACGUGCCCUUCAGUUCGGGAUAACCCAGGGAAACUUGGGCUAAUACCGGAUACGUGCGAGAGCAGAAAGAUUUAUCGCUGAAGGAUCGGCCCGCGUCUGAUUAGCUAGUUGGUGGGGUAAUGGCCCACCAAGGCGACGAUCAGUAGCUGGUCUGAGAGGAUGAUCAGCCACAUUGGGAAUGAGAAACGGCCCAAACUCCUACGGAAGGCAGCAGUGGGGAAUAUUGGACAAUGGGCGCAAGCCUGAUCCAGCCAUGCCGCGUGAGUGAUGAAGGCCUUAGGGUUGUAAAGCUCUUUCGUCCGGGACGAUAAUGACGGUACCGGAAGAAGAAGCCCCGGCUAACUUCGUGCCAGUCGCCGCCGUAA
rnacentral:rRNA from 1 species